UACGUAGGUGGCAAGCGUUGUCCGGAUUUACUGGGCGUAAAGAGCGCGCAGGCGGUCGUUCAAGUCGCGUGUGAAAGCCCCCGGCUCAACUGGGGAGGGUCACGCGAUACUGAUCGACUGGAAGGCAGGAGAGGGUAGUGGAAUUCCCGGUGUAGUGGUGAAAUGCGUAGAUAUCGGGAGGAACACCAGUGGCGAAGGCGGCUAACUGGUCCAGAUCUGACGCUGAGGUGCGAAAGCGUGGGGAGCAAACAGG
rnacentral:rRNA from 1 species